CGGUUGAUCCUGCCGGAGGCCACUGCUAUGGGGGUCCGACUAAGCCAUGCGAGUCAUGGGGGUGUCCCUUCUGGGACACCACCGGCGGACGGCUCAGUAACACGUCGGUAACCUACCCUCGGGAGGGGGAUAACCCCGGGAAACUGGGGCUAAUCCCCCAUAGGCCUGGGGUACUGGAAGGUCCCCAGGCCGAAAGGGGCUCUGCCCGCCCGAGGAUGGGCCGGCGGCCGAUUAGGUAGUUGGUGGGGUAACGGCCCACCAAGCCGAAGAUCGGUACGGGCCAUGAGAGUGGGAGCCCGGAGAUGGACACUGAGACACGGGUCCAGGCCCUACGGGGCGCAGCAGGCGCGAAACCUCCGCAAUGCGGGCAACCGCGACGGGGGGACCCCCAGUGCCGUGGCACAGCCACGGCUUUUCCGGAGUGUUAAAAGCUCCGGGAAUAAGGGCUGGGCAAGGCCGGUGGCAGCCGCCGCGGUAAUACCGGCGGCCCAAGUGGUGGCCGCUAUUAUUGGGCCUAAAGCGUCCGUAGCCGGGCCCGUAAGUCCCUGGCGAAAUCCCACGGCUCAACCGUGGGGCUUGCUGGGGAUACUGCGGGCCUUGGGACCGGGAGAGGCCGGGGGUACCCCUGGGGUAGGGGUGAAAUCCUAUAAUCCCAGGGGGACCGCCAGUGGCGAAGGCGCCCGGCUGGAACGGGUCCGACGGUGAGGGACGAAGGCCAGGGGAGCGAACCGGAUUAGAUACCCGGGUAGUCCUGGCUGUAAAGGAUGCGGGUUAGGUGUCGGGCGAGCUUCGAGCUCGCCCGGUGCCGGAGGGAAGCCGUUAAGCCCGCCGCCUGGGGAGUACGGCCGCAAGGCUGAAACUUUAAAGGAAUUGGCGGGGGGAGCACA
rnacentral:rRNA from 1 species